GAUGAACGCUGGCGGCGUGCCUAAUACAUGCAAGUCGAGCGAACGGACGAGAAGCUUGCUUCUCUGAUGUUAGCGGCGGACGGGUGAGUAACACGUGGAUAACCUACCUAUAAGACUGGGAUAACUUCGGGAAACCGGAGCUAAUACCGGAUAAUAUUUUGAACCGCAUGGUUCAAAAGUGAAAGACGGUCUUGCUGUCACUUAUAGAUGGAUCCGCGCUGCAUUAGCUAGUUGGUAAGGUAACGGCUUACCAAGGCAACGAUGCAUAGCCGACCUGAGAGGGUGAUCGGCCACACUGGAACUGAGACACGGUCCAGACUCCUACGGGAGGCAGCAGUAGGGAAUCUUCCGCAGUGGGCGAAAGCCUGACGGAGCAACGCCGCGUGAGUGAUGAAGGUCUUCGGAUCGUAAAACUCUGUUAUUAGGGAAGAACAUAUGUGUAAGUAACUGUGCACAUCUUGACGGUACCUAAUCAGAAAGCCACGGCUAACUACGU
rnacentral:rRNA from 1 species